rnacentral:rRNA from 1 species
UACGGAGGGUGCAAGCGUUAUCCGGAUUCACUGGGUUUAAAGGGUGCGUAGGUGGAGUGGUAAGUCAGUGGUGAAAUCUCCAAGCUUAACUUGGAAACUGCCGUUGAUACUAUCAUUCUUGAAUAUCGUGGAGGUAAGCGGAAUAUGUCAUGUAGCGGUGAAAUGCUUAGAUAUGACAUAGAACGCCGAUUGCGAAGGCAGCUUGCUGCAGGAUCAUUGACACUGAGGCACGAAAGCGUGGGGAUCAAACAGG